rnacentral:misc_RNA from 1 species
UACGUAGGUGGCAAGCGUUGUCCGGAAUUACUGGGUGUAAAGGGAGCGCAGGCGGGACAGCAAGUUGGAUGUGAAAUACCGAGGCUCAACCACGGUACUGCAUCCAAAACUGUUGUUCUUGAGUGAAGUAGAGGUAGGCGGAAUUCCGAGUGUAGCGGUGAAAUGCGUAGAUAUUCGGAGGAACACCAGUGGCGAAGGCGGCCUACUGGGCUUUAACUGACGCUGAGGCUCGAAAGUGUGGGGAGCAAACAGG